UACGGAGGGUGCGAGCGUUGUCCGGAAUCACUGGGCGUAAAGGGCGCGUAGGUGGCGCGACAAGUCAACGGUGAAAGCCCGGGGCUCAACCCCGGGUCGGCCGUCGAUACUGUUGGGCUUGAGCACUGUAGAGGCAGAUGGAAUUCCGGGUGUAGCGGUGGAAUGCGUAGAGAUCCGGAAGAACACCGGUGGCGAAGGCGGUCUGCUGGGCAGUAGCUGACACUGAGGCAUGAAAGCGUGGGGAGCAAACAGG
rnacentral:rRNA from 1 species